rnacentral:rRNA from 1 species
UAAGACUUUAAUUGAGUGCUAAGAGAAUGGAAUUACAGGAAAUUUCUUUCUUGAAUUCAAAAAUUGAAGUUAUUUUUAUAUGUGAAGAAACAGUAAUAAAAAUUAAGGACAAGAAGACCCUAAGAAUUUUUAAAAAAAGUUUUAUAAUUUUAUUACAAUUUUUUUUUAGUUGGGGCGAUUGAUGAAUAUUAUAAACUUUAUUUAGAUAAAAAUGAACCAAUAUUAUUGGAUAUAUGAUAAAAAUACUCUAGGGAUAACAGCGUAAUAAUUUUAGAUAGUUCUUAUAGACAAAAUAGUUUGCGACCUCGAUGUUGGAUUAGGAUACUUUUUUAAUGAAGAA